CGGACGAGCCGAGCGAGGGCGGAGGAGAGGAGAUGGCGCGCGGCGUGGCGGCUGGGGCGAAGGGCGGCGCUGGCGGCGGCGCCAAGAAGAAGGGCUCCGUCACCUUCACAAUCGACUGCACCAAGCUCGUGGAGGACAAGAUCAUGGAGAUCGCCACGCUCGAGAAGUUCCUGCAGGAGCGCAUCAAGGUCGCCGGCGGCAAGGCUGGCAACCUUGGCGAGGGCAUAUAAGUUAAUCCCGCUCAGACCACGAAUGCAUAUAUAUUUCUUUGUGGGUGCUGAUUUUUGGAGAUACCACUACUGACUCUUGUGAUCUACACGUUGCUUGCCUGCUGAUGAGAACUCUUGUGUGUGGAAAAGUAAGGUACAACUCUGCUCAACUCAAUUCCUUAUGUUAAAAUUAAAAUUUUAGUGCCCUGACUUCUGAACAAAUGCAGACUGUAAAGCAGUAUUCUUUUACUGUUACAUGUUUGUGUUUUUGCUAACUGCUUGUAAAUGCCGCCAUCCUCAAACUGGAAAGUUGUCUUGAUCAAUAAUAAUCUGCGUACUAGUUGUCUUGAUAACUGCUUGUAAAUGCCCUGACUUCUGAACAAAUGCAGACUGGAAAGUUGUCUUGAUCAAUAAUAAUCUGCGUACUAGUUGUGGCCUAUUUCAUUAGCUUGUUGGGUGGUUGGGCAGCUUCAUGAUUUUAAUAUUCUUCAAGCAGAUAUUUGUAGUAGGCUUUUAGUGAGAAUGUGAGAUAUAAGGACUUGCAGCCUAUGAAGUAUUAAGGUUAAUAUAAUACUGGGAAGACUCUGAGUUUGUUCCAGUGAAAAGGAGGGUAAUGUAUAGAGCUCCAACACAAUUUUUAUAGAACAUGCUGCACCAUUUUGGAAAAAAAGGAAUCCCUGAAUUAGCAUAAUAAUCUCAGUGAAGUGUUAUCUGAAGGUCACAAAAAUAUUGAUACAUGGAUGCUUCAUUGCUCAAUAUAACUAUUGCCCAUGUUGGCAAUAUUUUGAGCUACUUUGUCUUGGAGCAAAUAACUGUGAAAACAUUUGCAUUUUUUUUCUCAGGUUAAGGAUUUGGAGCAAGAAAUAUGUGACUAAAUAGGCUUUGGCAGAAAACCAUGAGAAGGACCAAGCUGUUGGGUGAGGAGGACCAACCAUGAGAAUGUUCUUAAUGGUCCUUAUGCAUGUUGAGAAAUAACUGAAAAUUGCAUAGGAAACUCGCAUCUUGGGUGAGGAGGAUACUACUACCAAAAAAAAGACAAGCUGAAUAUAUGAUGUUGCUGGUGCUAGCCACAUCUGGAAUGGUAGCAUUGGGCGCCACUAGCUGCUUACAAAUGAAUGGGAUGCCAAAUUUUGCGCAACUACUGCAUUUGGAUCCAAGUAUUUCUUUUGUUUUAUGAGCUUUUGGAACAACUUGUGGACUUUACUCGUUGGGAGGGCAAGAACCUGUUGUUGGGUCCAUACAUCUCUUUUUGGUUGUUAUGUCUAUCAAAGUGAUUGUCUACUGCAAACAAUCUAGUAUAGCUCCCAUUUAUGUUUUAUGACUUGGUGUAAAUUGGAUAUGCUGCCAUGUAUGUACUUGUGCUUAAUUUAUGACUUGGUGCAAAUGUCCAAGACAACUAUAUUCAUGUCA